rnacentral:misc_RNA from 1 species
GAUGAAGAACGCAGCGAAAUGCGAUAAGUAGUGUGAAUUGCAGAAUUCAGUGAAUCAUCGAAUCUUUGAACGCACAUUGCGCCCUUUGGUAUUCCUUAGGGCAUGCCUGUUCGAGCGUCAUUUAAACCUUCAAGCUCGGCUUGGUGAUGGGCGACUGUCCUCCCCUCGCGGGGGGACUCGCCUCAAAAACAUUGGCGGCCGGUACAUUGGCUUCGAGCGCAGCAGAAACGCGGUCUCGAGCCCGGUGGAUCGGCUCCCAUAAGCCUAUUCUUUUAUUUUGACCUCGGAUCAGGUAGGGAUACCCGCUGAACUUAAGCAUAUCAAUAAGCGGAGGA